rnacentral:rRNA from 1 species
UACGAAGGGGGCUAGCGUUGUUCGGAUUUACUGGGCGUAAAGCGCACGUAGGCGGGUCGUUUAAGUCAGGGGUGAAAUCCCGGAGCUCAACUCCGGAACUGCCUUUGAUACUGGCGACCUUGAGGCCGGAAGAGGUUAGUGGAAUUCCCAGUGUAGAGGUGAAAUUCGUAGAUAUUGGGAAGAACACCAGUGGCGAAGGCGGCUAACUGGUCCGGAUCUGACGCUGAGGUGCGAAAGCGUGGGGAGCAAACAGG